CCUACGGGUGGCAGCAGUGGGGAAUAUUGGGCAAUGGGCGAAAGCCUGAUCCAGCCAUGCCGCGUGUGUGAAGAAGGCCUUCGGGUUGUAAAGCACUUUCAGUGGGGAAGAAAGCCUUGGGGCUAAUACCCUCGAGGAAGGACAUCACCCACAGAAGAAGCACCGGCUAACUCCGUGCCAGCAGCCGCGGUAAUACGGAGGGUGCGAGCGUUAAUCGGAAUUACUGGGCGUAAAGCGCGCGUAGGCGGUCUGAUAAGCCGGUUGUGAAAGCCCCGGGCUCAACCUGGGAACGGCAUCCGGAACUGUCAGGCUAGAGUGCAGGAGAGGAAGGUAGAAUUCCCGGUGUAGCGGUGAAAUGCGUAGAGAUCGGGAGGAAUACCAGUGGCGAAGGCGGCCUUCUGGACUGACACUGACGCUGAGGUGCGAAAGCGUGGGUAGCAAACAGGAUUAGAUACCCGUGUAGUC
rnacentral:rRNA from 1 species